ACCUAAUCAAGUUUGAGUUGCUUUCCAAAACCCUAGUUUUCAAUCCUUUGUUUUAACCCCUUUUGUGUAAUGCAAAAUCUCGCUUCACAUGCUAUCUCAUGUUAAUUGCUAUUGUGAGAUAUAUGCCUUGUCUUGUUGUUAUGUUUCACAUACUAUGCUUUCAUGCUUUUAAUAAUAACAUGCUUCACAUGUUAGUUGAUCGAAUGUUCCAUAUUGCUAUGGAUAUGAGUGAUAUCAUGAUUUCUAUGAUUAAUAAUCUUUUAUAUGUCAUCAAUGUAAUAUUAAUUUAUGGAAUUAAAAUGACAUUGAAACUGCCUAUUUAUCUAACAUGAUAAGGGCCAUGUAGAUGAGGGAUCAUUGUACAUGCAGAUAACCGCUCCUUUGAAAAUCCUUCUAUAAAAGGAGAAGCCGAAUGAACAUGGGUACAUGGCAGCACGUGUAUACACAAGAGAGAAAAUUAUUUGAGCACGUGCAUAUGUAUACCGUAUGAUGCACACGUCCUUCAAGCGCUCUCUACCGUGUACCCGACGAAAUCCGGUACGGAGAAGGAACCGGGUGAGGAGGAGCCUCGAGAGGAGGAAUCUUUUCUACAUACUAUAUCACUUCCUAUUUCUAUAUGCAGAAACCAAAUUGUGGAAUGAAGGUGCUUUGAUCCAACGGCACCGUGCACGUACGAGCCUAUCUUCGGAGCACAACCCUACUAUGGCCAGACGAGCAGGGACCAGCAGGUAAUCCCACUUGCCACCUAAUAAACAGAUAAGAAACCUAACAAACCAACAACAUUAUAUUUUGGGAAUAUUGUGUUCUUGCCCUUACUUUAAUGUCCAAUUAUGAUUUUACCCUUGUUUUUGGCGCAUUUGUGAUCUUACGCCUACUUUGUAACUACUAAUGCUAAGUUUACCCCUAGUUUUAACUCUGUUAGUUGUUUCUAUAAUAAAAAAAAUAAAAAACAACAAAACCCCNNNN
rnacentral:lncRNA from 1 species